GUGGGUGUAGCUCAGUGAUAGAGCACACGCUUAGCAUGCACAAGGUCCUGGGUUCAAUCCCCAGUACCUCCU
rnacentral:tRNA from 1 species